UUCCUGACCCCCUCCCCCCAAGCCUGGGACAGCUGCUCCGGAACUCAGCAACUGGCUAGGGAUCGAAUCCCAAUUCAGCUUUUCCAGAGGCUCAGCCGUUUCUCCAUGAUGACACAGAAGUACAGCGCUCUCAGCGCUCUCAGGUCCUUACCUCAUAAUCCACAUGCAAUUGGAUUACAGAGCGUUUAUGGGACAUAAGAGAAACAAGAGACCAAGACCCUUGAACCUCCUGCAGAGAUGCUCCCUGCAGUCGCAUCCUCCAGGGUGUCUCUCCUUGUGUCUUUUUGCUACAGCUGGUUUUUCAGGGCUGGGGAUGGAACUCUGGGCCUCCUGCAUGUUGGUAUAAGCACUCUGCCGCUGAGCCACAUCCUCAAACCCCUCUCUCUUUCUAUGUAACUUUUUCCUCCUUCGGUACAGUUAGACUUCUCUGUCAUCCAUGGCUUCCAAGAGGGCAGAAGUAAAAUUUGCCAGUUCUCAGAGCUGGAGAGAUGACUCAGCGAUUAAGAGCACUUGGCUGCUCU
rnacentral:lncRNA from 1 species